CGUUAGCGGCGGACGGGUGAGUAACACGUGGAUAACCUACCUAUAAGACUGGGAUAACUUCGGGAAACCGGAGCUAAUACCGGAUAAUAUAUUGAACCGCAUGGUUCAAUAGUGAAAGACGGUUUUGCUGUCACUUAUAGAUGGAUCCGCGCCGCAUUAGCUAGUUGGUAAGGUAACGGCUUACCAAGGCAACGAUGCGUAGCCGACCUGAGAGGGUGAUCGGCCACACUGGAACUGGGACACGGUCCAGACUCCUACGGGAGGAGCAGGA
rnacentral:rRNA from 1 species